UGCAUUUAAGUUUUAACUGAAAAUUGUUUUUAAAUAUUUUGUAUUAAGAAUAAAGUUGUUCAGAUAAUUAUUGUUUGAUUGUUUCCGUUACUGACUUAUUCAGUAUUUUCCAAGUACUAGUUAUCAUAUAAACAUUUUCGUUCUAAUUAUGGUGUGUAGUAGUGACUUUAUUUACUACAAUUAUACGCAUAUUUAACUGACUACAAUAUUUUCAGAUUGCAAUACAGCAGACAAUGAAAGCCAUGGUGAGACAUGAAUUCGCGAUUCUAUCAGUUUGGAAAAUAUAAACAUCCUACGAUGACAAUGGACUAGAAGAUACUGAUAAUAAUAAUUGUUUUAUUCAACAUGGCAAUACAGCAGAUGACUCAAGGAAUGCUGAGACAUUUAUUCAUAUGCAUACAACUUUGGAAAAGUAUGAACAUCCAAUGUUGAAAAUGAACUAAAAGAUACUGAUUAUAAAGAAUUAAUGCAAUAUGGAAAUACAGCAGGUCACUCAAGGGAUGCUGAAACAUUAAUUUCUAUUCAUACAACUUUGAGAAAGUAUGAACAUCCAAUUUUGAAAAUGAACUAACAAAUACUGUUUAUAUUGAAUUUAUGCAAUUUACAUUUAAUGGUUAUUGAAUAUAAUUUAUAGAAUAUUAAUUGUAGUGAUACAAUAGAGAUUUGUUAACAAAGUGAA